ensembl:lncRNA
CACCUCCAGAAGAGACAAAAGUUUAUUUUUCAUUUGAAACAGAAUUAUGAAAAACUCAAAAUGUAAGACUUCACUUCUAAAUGUGAAUAUAAAACAUGUAACAACUUCAACUACAAAACGUGUCUCGUCAGCAUUUUUUAUUCCUAAAUUUGAUUUGGAUAAACAAAUAAAAGACAACUUGCCAAAUAAUGUCCAAUAAAAGAAGAGGUAAAACGAUUGCGAACAACAACGUCUAUGCCCAAAUACACAACCACAGACUUUUAGUAUGUCAUUUAUAUUAUAUACUGGAUUCCUUCUGUUCUGUUGUUAAAUAUAACAAAGUAGAUUUGUAUCAAACUUUGUGGAAUCAUUUUUUUGAAGGACAAGACAGGAGGAAUCCAGAGAGAGAUUGUAUUUGGAGAAUGUCUUCCUCCCAAUCAGUGUGCUUAAAUAAAUGUUUUUAGUUACUAAAAUGAAAACAUAAAGACUCCUUUAAGUUCAGUGUUUUGUGAUCCAUACUUGAUUAGAAUAUUUAGAAUAAAUUCUUUCUCUAGUUUGUUGGGAUUUUAGCAGUCCGGGUCUGUUGCCCUGUCACAGUCCAUUACCUUCUCCUCUGUGGCGGCCUGUGGAGCGUGCAUGAGCCUCAGGAGAACACGGGCCUUAUCUAAUUGGCAAAGCUGAGGCAAAACAAUGGCUCAAAGUUCAUUGGUUGAAUAUCUCAUUGAGUUUCAUUCAUCAGUGUUGAUUAAGUUGGAUAGAAGACCACGGCAGUCGCAGCGUUUCACAUGUUGUUUUCUCCAGAACACCCAGAUGCAUCUGAACGUUUUAAGGAGAGCCCCGCCCCCCAAAGAAGAGAGCCCCGCCCCGUUUGGAGGUGCUUUUAUUUAAUGCAACUUUUUGAUGCGUUUAAAGCUUUUUCAAACGGCUGCAACAUCUACGGAAACAUUUCAGGACCAUAGACAGCACUUCACAGCUCCAUGAAACGUUAACAGGAACCACAGAACAAUAUAUUAAUCAAUGAGACAAACAUCAAGUGGUUGUGAAAAGAAGUUGCAAAAGUUUCAUAACGCUCAACGUGCUGAGCUGGCAGUUAGCAGCUAACUGCACGUUAGCAUUCCAGGCUAACUAAAUAGCUAAUAACCAGACUUAUCUUUACUAGUAAUGUAAAAACAAAACAAAUUAAAUGAAGGGUUCCUGCGUGUUGGUGGAUUUAACGGCAGUGACGCUGCUUCGCCAGGUGCCAAGGGCCGAGGUCAGAGGUCGCCGGAGUCAUUGAGAGGGUUGGCGAUGACCGACUUGUGAAUGAGCAUGAAGAGCGGCAGGUAGGCCAGGAAGUCCAGCAGGUCCAGGGGGGGGAUGCGCUGCAGCUCCAGCCGCACGGCCGCCUCCUGCUCCAGGUGGAUGCCCCCGGCCUUCAGCUCCAGAAGGAGCUGCUCCGCGCUGAUGGAGCCCCGCUGGGCUCCGGCGUCUCCUUGCUGCUCCUCCAUGAGGAACAGGAACAGUUGCUGCAUAGUGAUGACAAUAAUA